GCUGGCGUAGCUCAACUGGCAGAGCAACGGUCUUGUAAACCGUAGGUUGUGAGUUCGAGUCUCACCGCCAGCUC
rnacentral:tRNA from 1 species